rnacentral:ribozyme from 13 species
AAAUAUGCCCCAAAUAAAUUAAGUAAAGAGAAAGGGAAGAAGGAGUGGGGAAAGGAAAACGAAGAGACGAAUAUUAGUCUCUUUCUUUCUUUUCUUGUUCAAUUUUUGCUCUUUUCCAGGCAGGGUCAAAGGGAGGAACUUCUACAGACAAAUCAGGAGAGUAGAGACGAUGAACAAAUUCAGAGCCAGCAAAUGAAGCAAACAAACAAAAUCCCAUCAAAAA